CCCCCCCCCUUUCCCGCCCGCCGUUGCGCGCAGACCAGAGCAAGUCAGAUCAGCGCGAGGGAGAGCCGGCAGAUCAGCGCGAGGGAGAGCCGGCAGAUCAGUGCAAGGGAGAGCCGGCAGAUCAGGGAGAGCUGGUACCGGCAGAUCAGCGCGAGGGAGAGCCGCAGAUCAGCGCGAGGGAGAGCCGGCAGAUCAGCGUGAGGGAGAGCCGGUACCGGCAGAUCAGCGUGAGGGAGAGCCGCAGAUCAGCGUGAGGGAGAGCCGGCAGAUCAGCGCAAGGGAGAGCCGGCAGAUCAGGGAGAGCUGGUACCGGCAGAUCAGCGCGAGGGAGAGCCGCAGAUCAGCGCGAGGGAGAGCCGGCAGAUCAGCAUGAGGGAGAGCCGGUACCGGCAGAUCAGCGCGAGGGAGAGCCGCAGAUCAGCGCGAGGGAGAGCCGGUGUUCCGGGAAUUUCUCCUACCCCGUAAACCGUCCUACCCGUCGUUCCUGCGCAUGUGCGCGCAUGCGCACAACACAAAAAGGAAGCAAAGCGCAUCCGGCUGUGAUUUCAUGCUACUCCGUUGUCAGAUUUGCAGGAAAAUAGGUAAGUAGUUAAGUAUUAGUACUUUUUAUUGAUUUAUUUAAGCCUUUGUGAUUGUUUGUCAAUAUUAAAGUAAAGUCGCUAUCUGCUUUCUGCACAAAACUGUCGAAUUUGCAGCUUUGGUUAAGUCUGCUGUGGUUACUGGACAUGUGGUAUUUGGACAACACUUCUGAAUCCGCAGCUUCGGUGUUUUAAGGCUGUUUCGGUAAUGUCGCUAUUUAAUAAGUUAAAUUAUUUGCAUUGUUAACUGCACAUAUUGAAGCUCAGAAGAAAAUGUCUACUUACAUUCAUAGAUAUGGAGAAGAAGUGGGAAGAGAUUUACACAUUCAUUUCUGCGGGCUCCUACCCUUCAGGAUAUGACAAGGCUCAGAGGCAAAACCUCAGAAGAUAUGCCUCAAAAUUCAAACAAAAGGAUAGAGAACUCUUUGUUGGAACCAGAAGAGUAGUAAAAACCAUGGAUGAUGCCAGGAAGAUUUUUCAUGAGUUUCAUUCAUCUCCAAUCGGAGGACACACUGGCACACACAAAACGCUAAAUGCAGUGUGUUCCAGAUUUUACUGGUUUGGUAUGACAGUUGACAUUAAAUUUCUUUUUCAGUU